rnacentral:misc_RNA from 1 species
UGUGGGAGCGAGCUUGCUCGCGAUAGCGGUAUGUCAGACAUCGCUCUAUUGACUGACAGUGCGCCAUCGCGAGCAAGCUCGCUCCCACA